CCGGUCGCGAUGUUCCACGCGGACUCGCCGGGGCCGUGGUCCUCCGCAGUGCAACUUCCGGCCACCCUGCCCUGUGGAGCUCCCGCGAGACCUCGCUCUGGGGUAAACUCGGUUCCGCCCGAGUGCUUGGCUGGAGGACCGGAAGAGCGGCCUUUGGAUGCGCGGGCCUCCAAUCCUGUCUCCCGUAGGCGCCGCGCUCGACCAUCUAGCCAAUCGCAGGCCACAUCGUGUCGCAGCAGCCAAUCGGAGAGGCCCGGAGCCUCUCAGACGUGCGGUGGGCCAUGCUUCUCCCUGCUCCGAAGUUCUUUUGUUAGACCUCUGUGGUUCCUGUGGCGUGUUCGCUUGCUCCGUGCAAUCCGGCGCCAUCGCGUUUUCGCCGAGCGCUGUAAUGGAUAGUAGAGAGGCGGGAAUAGACCCGACGCCGAGCUGGCUUUGGCUAUGGUGGUGCGCGCUCCGGAGGACCGAUUGGAGAACGACACCAGGAGACAGCUCACUGAUUCGGAGGUGACACAGGAGCUUUUGGUGUGACUUGGCUCAAUGCAUGUGAUGCCACAGGAGCUUGAUCGAGGAUGUCCCGGAAUCUUAAUUUAGCGAAUCUUUUUCUGAAGACGUUUUGCCUCGAUGAGUUAGUUCAUGAAAGAAGGGAUCGUGUUAAGGGUGGUGUCUGGAAGAGAUGUGUGGCGUUGGAAGGUGAUAUGAAAUACACAGGAAAGGAAAGAAAAGGAUGUUUUGCUUAAGAGUGCCAUUUGCAAAUUUAUUCAAUAAUUUGAAGAUUUAUAUAAGGGCCUGUUCAGAAAGGGGCGUUUCUCCUGCUCUAAGAAAGUGCUCUUCACACAAGCCUGAUGGCCUGAACUAAUUCCUGGAGCCCACGAGGUGGAAGAGAGCGGACUCCUGAAAGUUAUCUUCAGAUCACAUAUACACAAUAAGAAAAUGUAAAUUUUAAAAAUCAAAAUAGUAAUCAGAACAUUAGAAUGCUGUUUUAGUGAAAUGUAAACAUGAUGCAAGUGAUUAUGGAACAUCUGGAUGCUUUGUAUAGUUUUGUACAAAACUUUACCCUUUUCCGAAAUGAGAAAGGAAUUAAAAUUGUCAAAGGAAUUGAACUCUGUAAAUUUUUUUCUUUUGCAAAGAAAGUUAUUUGUAAUGGUAUUUUGCAGUGCCCUCAGAUCAGAUAGAGCUGGAGUUGGAGUGGUGAGCUGCCUGGGGUGGGUGCUGUAAGCUGAACUCUCUGGAAGAGUGAGUACUGAGUCAUCUCCCCCACCCAACUUUUUGUGGCUAUGAAUGUGAAAUCUUUUGCAUUCUAGAGAAAAACCAGGAGUAAGAUGUGCCAUGUUGGAAUAUUAUGGCUGCCAAUCAAAAUGAAUUGUUGCUUCCCGAUAGAGGGCUAGUCACUAGUCAGAAGUGUCCUUGUUUAAACAUUUCAGAAGUUGUGCCAAAUGAGGGUAGCUGCAAUAAAAGCCAGCUUGUUCUUGCAGAUCCGAUUGUGCCGCUGUCUGGCCUGUGUUUCAUUUGUAGUAUACAAUAAACAUUGUUUUAACUG